UACGAAGGGGGCUAGCGUUGUUCGGAAUUACUGGGCGUAAAGCGCACGUAGGCGGAUCGAUCAGUCAGGGGUGAAAUCCCAGGGCUCAACCCCGGAACUGCCUUUAAGACUGCAUCGCUUGAAUCCGGGAGAGGUGAGUGGAAUUCCGAGUGUAGAGGUGAAAUUCGUAGAUAUUCGGAAGAACACCAGUGGCGAAGGCGGACUCACUGGACCGGUAUUGACGCUGAGGUGCGAAAGCGUGGGGAGCAAACAGGGAUUAAGAUACCC
rnacentral:rRNA from 1 species